CCUUACUGGAACAAUUGUGGACCGGAGAUACUUUGUGCGCGUUUGUGUUGGAGAAACUCUGCCAAUAGCAGUGAUUCACACAGAUAAUAUUAAAGCACUGUGGUGGUUAUGGUACUUAAAAUGGAUGUAAAAAA